rnacentral:misc_RNA from 1 species
AAGGUGUCCAACACAUAUGCGAGUGUUUGGGUGGCAAACCCGAGCGCGGAAUGAAAGUAGAUGCAGGUGGGAUCCCUCACGGGUGCACCAUCGACCGGUCUGGAUUCUUUUGAAAGAUCUGAGUAAGAGCAUAUUUGUUGGGACCCGAAAGGUGGUGAACUAUGCCUGAAUAGGGUAAAGUCAGAGGAAACUCUGAUGGAAGCUCGUAGCGGUUCUGACGUGCAAAUCGAUCGUCAAAUUUGGGUAUAGGGGCGAAAGACUAAUCGAACCAUCUAGUAGCUGGUACCCUC